CGGCUACCACAUCUAAGGAAGGCAGCAGGCGCGCAAAUUACCCAAUCCUGACUCAGGGAGGUAGUGACCAGAAAUAACGACGACGGGUUUCGAUUCGUCGAUUGCAAUGAGCACAAUGUAAAAUUCUUAGCGAGUACCGACUGGAGGGCAAGUCUGGUGCCAGCAGCCGCGGUAAUUCCAGCUCCAGUAGCGUAUAUUAAAGUUGUUGCAGUUAAAAAGCUCGUAGUUGGACGUCUCUGCGACACGCAGCUCCGCCACGCAACUGGGCACGCUCUUAACUGAGCGGCCGAGACCUGCGGGCCCUUUACCUUGAGGAAACUAGAGUGUUUAAGGCAGGCUCCGCCUGAAUACUGCAGCUGGGAAUAAUGCGCACGACUGUCUUGGCGAGGCAGCUCCACACUUUUAAUAGGAACAGUUGGGGGCAUUCGUACUCAGCAGUCAGAGGUGAAAUUCUUGGAUUUGCUGAAGACGGACUAGUGCGAAAGCAUUUGCCAAGGAUGUUUUCAUUAAUCAAGAACGAAAGUUAAGGGAUCCAAGACGAUCAGAUACCGUCCUAGUCUUAACCAUAAACGAUGCCGACUAGGGAUCGGGAGAGACGUACACACUCUCUCGGCACCUCACGAGAAAUCCAAGUCUUUGGGUUCUGGGGGGAGUAUGGUCGCAAGACUGAAACUUAAAGGAAUUGACGGAAGGGCACCACAAGGAGUGGAGCCUGCGGCUUAAUUUGACCCAACACGGGGAAACUUACCAGGUCCAGACAUAGUGAGGAUUGACAGAUUGACAGCUCUUUCUUGAUCCUAUGGGUGGUGGUGCAUGGCCGUUCCUAGUUGGUGGAGUGAUCUGUCUGGUUAAUUCCGAUAACGAACGAGACCUCAGCCUGCUAACUAGAUCUUCUUAGAGGGACUUCCUGCUCGCACAGGAGGAAGUGAGGCAAUAACAGGUCUGUGUUGCCCUUAGAUGUCCUGGGCCGCACGCGCGCUACACUGACGCAACCUGCCAGUUCCAAGCCCGAACCGGCCUGGCAAACUGCCAACUGCGUCGUAGUUGGAACUGACCCUUGCAAUUCUUGGUCACGAACCAGGAAUUCCUAGUAAGCGCAAGUCAUCAGCUUGCACUGACUAAGUCCCUGCCCUUUGUACACACCGCCCGUCGCUCCUACCGAUUCCGAGUGAUCAGGUGAACCUCUCGGACCCUGGAAGUUAAGUGAACCUUAUCACUUAGAGGAAGGAGAAGUCGUAACAAGGUA
rnacentral:rRNA from 1 species